CACUGACCAAGGCGAGCGAGCGUGGUUCUCAGGACUCUCUCCCACCAGGCAAUCGGCCCAGGAUGUGGACACUACUGAGAGUGCAUUAGUGGAGAGAUAAUAAAAUGCCUCCACAUCCUGGGUAAAGCAAACCACCAACUUCAGCUGGUCCACCUCUGAAUGAAGGGUAAAGGGCCUCCUGGACCGCUCACUAGCAGAGAAAUCUUGAAAAAAACGAAGCAGCAGGAUUUUGGCAUGCCCCUCUGAAUGUACAUAAAUAAAUCUCUUUCAGCAAGUCUCCAAGGAGUUUAAGCAAAACUUUCUUAAUGCUGGAGCAGAAAGUGAAAAACAAUCUCUGGUUUGUUUGUUAAGCUAGAAAAGUGGACAUCAUAUCCAAAGUACAAUUUAAAGCAUGAUUUUCUGCAUUCAAGAAUGAAGUGCUGGUAGUUCCUAGCUCAAGAAUGUGUCGACAGAACUUCCCAGUGAAACACUGCUGCUCCAAGUUCAUUAAACUCUUACCAGAAACAGUCAGGAAGGCAAAGAGCUGGGUGAAAUCAGGCAGAGAUCUCUGCUGGAGCCAUUUCCAGAAAGAAGCAGAAAGGGUCCAAGCUGUGGGCCCUAGGAGCAGACCACCUACCUUUCAUUGAAAUGACUGAAACUUAGGUAAAGAGAGGGGGGCAUUCCCAGCAAUGUUCACUAGCAGAAGACAGACCAGCACUCACCACAUGUUCAUACCUACCCCACCUGAUGAUCGGAUGGCCCAUUUUUGCAUUAAUAAUAGUAUAGAUCCAGGUAAAGGAGAUGCUUCCUGAGAGGCAGCGACGGGGUUUAUUCUGAAACAAUCUUCCCUCAACUCCAACUAUAGGCAUUAAGGCUAAGAUUGAGGUUUUCUCCACUGGAGGAGUAUUGAAUUUUUUUGUCUUUAUCAAAUGGUCAUCAAAAUAGCAUUUAAAAAACAAAUCCCCCAAUGUGGGCCCAAAGUGAGCUCUUGACUUUCCCAGGAUGCUUCAGACCAGUCAUCGUGAGGGUUGUCUAGACCCACAAAUGUCUCCUUCUAUCCACUUAGACAAAGUAAGGGGUCCAACAAAGAAUUUUAAGGUGAAUGAUGAAAUUUCCCUGUACAGAGCAGCUAGACUCAAAGGCAGCAUUAGAAAUUCCCGAAGAUUCUAAGAUUUGUGUAGAGUACUUCUAUAAUGAAAAGCAAGAUUACCUGGGUCUAAUACCUCCUCUCCUUUCACAGAUCUCUUUGCUAGGUUAAGAUGACUUUGAAACACUGAAGUUAUGCCCAUAGUCUUUUCAUCACUUCUGCUUUCCACAACCAAAUAAUAUGGUGUGCAUCUUUCUUUCUCUUUCUUUCUCUCUUUCUUUCUUUCUUUCUUUGUCAUUUUAGUUUGUUUUUCAAGGAACUUCAUUAAUGACCUUUUCCAUACAUUCAGGAGAAUGUAAGCUCCCUUAAGACAAAGACUAUUUCUUUGUCUUCCUAUUUGCAGAGCUUAGUAGGGAACCUGACUGAAGUCCAAGCAGACCACUCCCUCUUAAGCUUUUUCAUUCCUACUGUAAUCCUCCUUCUGACUCUUACUGGCUUUGUGACCCCAGGUAAUCCCUUAACCUCCCAAUGCCUGAAGUAACUCUCUGUAGACCAUCAGCUACAUAGAAGGUGCUGACCUGCUCUAAUAAUGGGAACUUCUUCAUGAGGAAGUUUCCACAGGUCAAGUGCCAACCCUUAUCCUUAUUUUAAUUUUACUGACUACUAUGUGGCACGGGCUGUGCCAGAAGAAUGUAAGCUCGGAGGAGAGGGCUGGUGGUUAUUUUGAUCUUUGCCUCACUAGCACCUGAAAAAGUGCCCAGCACAAAAUGGUGCUCCAUCAAUGUUUAUUUAUUCAAAGGGCAUCAUCUCAAUGAUUCCUUGAGGUCAAACUGGUGGGGCUGAUGGAGCAAUGGGACCCCUAAAAAAGGGUCCUUGAAUUUUCCCACCAAUUUUAGCAACCCAGAUCCCUGGGGUUCUGCUGAGGCAUCAGGCUGAUCCCAGUAUAAUCCUUUCAACCAUCCUUUUGUUGUGCCCCACCCCAUCUAGCCCAGCCCUUCAUUCUUUGUUUCUGCCAGACCAUCCCAGGCUACUUGCCACUCCUUAAUUCCAUCAAGAUCUUUUCACUGACCCCUUUUCCCUUUUUCUAUAGAAAAGUUUUAUUCUCACCUGCAUUAAGCUCAGACUCACUAGGAAUCUUGCCCAACCAAACAGCUUCUUAAUAAUUCACCAUUUGGACUGAAAGAAGGCUUGAGUGGUCAAAUUCUUUCGAGGCAGACCCACCCUAUACCCUUGCAUUUCCGGGUUCCUACCACCCCUAAGACUGCCUCAAAACUGCAAGAGUUCUGGCCUGGUGGCAUCUGAGAAACACUUGAUUAUUUGAAGAAGUAGAAUUGUUAAGGAUCCCAAUAAACCCACUACUGCCCUUGUUAACUGUCCCCUGGUCACAAGAUGACAGUCUGAGGUUUCCAGCUUGGAGAAUUCUAACAAGAGUUUCAUGAAAGAUUCCCCUUGUGAAAGUGGGUCCCUGGUAAGUCUUUCCUUCUAGAUAAAUACAACUUCCUUUUUCCCAAGGUGUAACAAUUAAGUGUGAUGAGUAAUUGUGUAAAUAAAUGUGCCAUUGGCAGAUGUACCUCCAAGAGUGUGGCUGUCAAAGCAAUACUCCAGAAUAGCUAGAGACUUAUCACUUAUUCCAGUGAGGAUAUCCUUGAUGAAAACAGCUUGGGGACUCUUCUUUGGGGAUUAUCAGAAGAGUUCUCCAAAGAGACAAAAGAUGCCCUCACUUUACAGAUGAGGAAACAAAGACCCAAUGAGUUGGUGAUAAAUAAUUUGCCCAAUGUCACCCAGAUGGUAAAUUUAAGAGAUGCAAUUGAAAUUCCCUCCUUUGACUCCCUGUCAGUGUCCCUUCCACUGUCUAAUCCAAAUAUUCCAUUUUGCAUAUUAGGAAAUGGAACGCUAAAGAGUGAAAGAAUUUCUCCAAAGUAUGGGACAGUGGAAAGAACUCUCUAACUGGAGUCUGAGAACAACCUGAGUUCAAAUUCCUGUUUUGAUAUUUAUUCUCCAUCCUUGAGCAAAUCAGUUAAACUCUCCGGGUCUGUUUCCUCAUCUGAAAAAUGAGGGUUAGAUAGAUUAGAUGCCAUUAUAGUCUUUAAAUCUGUGAUCCUGAUUGUCCAUACAGAACCACUGGCCCAGGACUGGUGAUUCUAAGGCUCUUGCUUUGUGACAUGCUAUCCAUGAUGUGUAUAUGCACUGCCAACAGAGCUCCUAAAAGACUGAAAUUACAGCAAGCCCAUUGCCAGGGUAAAGGAAGAAAGCCUUGAAUUUGAUUUACUAGAAAGAAAUUUAGAAGAAUUGUAGACCUUAGAUGUCACUCAUCCCAACCACCUCAUUAUACAGUGGAAGAGAUUGAUACCUGGAUUGCUGCAGUAUCACAGUGACUUGUAUCAUAUAGUCAAUGAAAACAAAGGUGUUUCCAUGGUCUGCCUUGCAUAUAGAAAUGAAUAAUGUAAGAAGGAGGCUGGGCAUAGAGCAAACCUGAGGAGCAUAUGUCAGUAACUGAAGAGUAAGGAGGAUUAAUACAAGUGACUUCUUCUUGCAUCCAGCAAAAAUCCAGCAGAGAGAAAAAUGGAUGCUGAAGACUUCCUAGAGGAUAUGCCAUCAGUACCAAAAAAGUGGGUUUGGGAUUCAUAAAGCAUUGGGAUUGUUUUCCGUGAUGGAAGAUAACUAGAUUAGAUGCUUUCCAAUUAAACAGGCUGAAUAUCACCCCUCAGGCUUCAAACCUGGCAGGGCUUGCUCAGGAAUUCACUUUUCCAACAUAGCUUUAGCAAAAAAGAAAUUUAUAAAUGGAGAUGUCAAAAAGUAUUGUAAAGGAAAAUGUCAACAGAGAAUUUGGAUAAUUCUGCCCAUUUAGCUGGAGUUCUGAAGCUACAGAGAACAGUACCAAAGGAAAGAUGGCGGCCAUCAACAGGCUCAACCUUGAGAAGUCAUUACUGCAAUUUUCUGAUCCAGCACUCAUCGGUGAAGGCUGCUCACAGAAAAGGCAGAUCCAAAGCUGACGAGGUGGGGGAGGCCAGGCCCCGCUGUCCACACAACUCUGUCCUUGCAACACGCAGUGGUCUGAGCUAACAGAAUGUCUGCGCAUCCCAGAGCAAAUGACAUACCGUGAUCAAAGGCACCAGAAAGAAAAAAGGAAUAAAGCAGGCAAGCAAAUGGAGCCUGAGAGAAGACUUGAUAGCAAUCAUUUCCUAAUGAGAGAAUCUAUGUGACUCUGAGUGACAAGUCAAGAAUCUUCUGCAGAGAGGCCACAAAUGAUGAAAUCCCAAGCUCUCGAUGGGAAGGAAGCACAUAUCAGGACCUUCCUGCUUUAGGAAUGCCAAGUGUCAGCUCAUUCACUAACUCCAUCUUCCUUCCACAUACUUUACAUGGUUUUCUUUAAACAGUCAUCAUUCUGUAGGUAUUAUUUUAAAUG